CAUGUCUUUUUGAGAAUUAUUUAAAGUCUAAUCUGCUCAAUGAUAAAAUUAAAUAGCCGCGGUAUUUUGACCGUGCAAAGGUAGCAUAAUCAUUAGUUCUUUUAUUGGGAACUGGAAUGAAUGAUUGGACAAGGAAAUUUCUGUCUCUUUCUUAAUUAUUGAAUUUAACUUUUAAGUGAAAAGGCUUAAAUUUUAACUAAAGACGAGAAGACCCUAUAGAGUUUAAUUUUAUCUAAAAUUAUAGAUAUUAAGGAAUUUAAUUUAUUUAUAUUUUUUAUUUAAUUUGGUUGGGGUGACUUUAAGAUUUGGUUAACUCUUGUAGCAUAUAUUAUGAUCAAUUAUUUUUGAAUUUAGAAUCUGAUAUUUUUCAAUUUUAAUUUAAAUUACCUUAGGGAUAACAGCGUAAUCUUACUUUGGAGUUCUUAUUAAAAGUAGGGUUUGCGACCUCGAUGUUGGAUUAAAAUUAAUUUCUGGUGCAGUAGCUGGAUAAUUGAGUCUGUUCGACUUUUAAAAUUUUACAUGAUCUGAGU
rnacentral:rRNA from 1 species